CUAAAUGACCGCUCAGUGAUAAAGGAGGUGGGGUGCAAAGACAACCAUGAGGUUUGCCUAGAAGCAGCCACCCUUUAAAGAGUGCGUAAUAGCUCACUGAUCGAGCGCCCUUGCGCUGAAGAUGAAUGAGGCUAAGCGAUGUGCCAAAGUUGUGG
rnacentral:ncRNA from 1 species